ACUACAGCCCCAGGAAAAAGAAACCUCAAUAUGAAGGAUUGACAUCCAGCUGCAGGGCUAAUAGGUAGGUGUUAAGUAGGUGUGGCCAACUGACACCUAACGCCUCUUUCAAAUCCAAUACCUCCCUUCUAGCAUGUCAACAGCUAGGUAGCCCACACCUUGACAUCAGUACCAAAGGGGAACUCAGACCGGCUUCAAAAGGACAGGUCUUGCCCUGGAACAAAUGAGCCACACACAUAAGGCACAACCCAAUCCAACAGGAAACAGAGACACCACAAUCGGCGUGCGUUAAUGGGGCAAUAACCAUAUUACGACUUCUACCUAAGGUACCUAGCUUGAGCUCAACCUAUGUCGCCUUGGGCACCCUUUCUAUGUAACGCUGAAAGACAGCACAAUCGGCUUGCGUUAAUGGGGGCAAAAAACCCUAUUCCUAAACCACUAAAGGUACCUACAAUGAGCUCACCCUAGGCGCUUCGGGCACCUUUCCUACCAAAGCUGGAAAAGGUAAGUUAAUAAAAGAAAAUGAGCGAUUGUUGUGCCUAACCACUUUCAUUAAAGCACUGAAACAAAAGACUUUCAAUUUCACAUUACAACUUUUAAGUUUAUGUUCAAGCGACUUCUAACACUCUUGGUUAUUUUGACGCCUAGGAAAUCGUCCAUUUUUCAAAAAUUUCCUGUCAUGCCCCUUUUCCUUUCACUUUUAUUCUCAUUGUCCAUAUUUGUCCCCAAGCGACCAGCCAUGAACAUAGGCACCAAUACGGCCAGCUGUUUCUGCCGUGUUGCCAAUCGAAUAAACAUCGUGUCAUUCACAAUAAUUCGGUCAA
rnacentral:sRNA from 1 species